AUGGCAGCAAAGGCCAAAGUCUUAUUUGAGUUAUUACCAUUAUUAUUCACAUUUGCCAUUUUAUUUCAAACUCACAGUGGCGGAAGUGGACUAAGACAUCAUGUUGCCUCAAGUUUAAUUGGAAAUCGUGAGAUGGGGUUUUACUAUGUUGGAGAAGCUAGUCUCAAACUCCUGGGCUCAAGUCAUCCUCCCGCCUCAGCCUGGUUAUUGAGAUUACAGACGUGUGCCUGGCCUAUUUUACUCGUUUUGAUAUUUUACUCAUGGCCAGAGCCACCUGGUUUCUGGCUGAGGAUAGCUGGUGGAAGAUGAGAGGGGCACACGUUGCACAAAGGAGUGUGCUGACUAUGCUCGAACACACAGAAGACAGAGAGAGAAAAGUGCUCGGUAUGCAAUAUGUAGAAUGAUUUUGCACAUCUAAUUUUUGUUAUUCAGGAGUACUACUUAGAAGAAAAAUACUACUGUUAAUCAGCAUCCAGUCAGAAAAAUAGAGCCCUCACAAGGUAGUUCAAUAGAGGUAAUUUAGUACAGAGAUCUGUUACAAAAGUCCUGAAAUCUGGGGCCAGCAUGAUUUUCUGUCAACAGAAUCUUUACCCCCACGCUGUUUCUUUCAUUUAAAAAAGAAUGAGGUAAAUGAAAAUUUUCUUUUCAGUUGCUUUCUUCUUAGAAAUAUUCUUCUUCAUAUAGAUUC
rnacentral:lncRNA from 1 species